rnacentral:rRNA from 1 species
CCUACGGGAGGCAGCAGUGGGGGAUAUUUCACAAUGGGGGGAACCCUGAUGCAGCGACGCCGCGUGGGUGAAGAAGCGCCUCGGCGCGUAAAGCCCUGUCAGCAGGGAAGAAAAUGACGGUACCUGCAGAAGAAUCCCCGGCUAACUACUUGCCAGCAGCCGCGGUAAUACGUAGGGGGCAAGCGUUAUUCUGAUUUACUGGGUGUAAAGGGGGCGCAGACGGCGAUGCAAGCCAGAAGUGAAAGCCCGGGGCCCAACCCCGGGACUGCUCUUGGAACUGCGUGGCUGGAGUGCAGGAGGGGCAGGCGGAAUGCCUGGUGUAGCGGUGAAAUGCGUAGAUAUAAGGAGGAACACCGGUGGCGAAGGCGGACUGCUGGACUGCAACUGACGUGGAGGCUCGAAAGCGUGGGGAGCAAACAGGAUUAGAUACCCCAGUAGUC